UGUGUCAGCAUAAUGUCGUUGCAUACUGGCGCAACCUGAGUUGGCGAGUUCUGAAUAUCCCCUUAUUUUUCAUAGAGUGACUUCUCUACCUUCCUGACAUCUUUCCACACUGCCCCCUUACAUUUACUGCAGAGGCAUUUCACUGCCUCUUGUUUCAGCGUAAUGUUCGUGAGCAGUGUAUCCUGAUGUCAAAGAUAUUUUAUCGAUUGUCCCAUUUUAAAAUUACGUUCUUUUGCUUCUUAUUUACAUUUAUUCAUACAUUGUUUUGUGAUUUGUACCAAAGUCGUGCCAUUUUGUAUACCUACAACUCUUCUAUUUCAGACAUUGCUUUCACCGAACCCGGAUGACAUUUAUAUGUUAGAUUCUUUUUAUUUUGAUACCUCAUGACACCAACGCAAUCUCACAUCCAUUAUUACGUUUUCUGCAGAAGCAGUGUUCCAGCCUCUUGUACAGCAUAACGACUAAUGCCCAGAUUCCUCGGUGUCAACAGAAAGAUAAGUAUAUUUAUUGAUAACUUUUCCUACCCAUGAAUUUGUAUAAAUGGAUUUUCUACUUUUGUCUCUAAUAUUUUUUUUGUGUUAUUGAAGGUUUCACCUCGGCCCGACCCCCUCACCAGUUUCCUGCAGCAGCAAUCUACUGCCGCUUGUUCCAGUGUAACAGUCUGUCUCGACUCGGUGUUGACGCAUCACUCCUCCUCGAUUAUCCACUGCAGAAGCAAUUCCACUGCCUCUUGGUACAGCUUGACAUCGAAGAACAAUGAUGCCUCUCAACGAGGAUGAUCGACAUUACCUUUCGGUGAUUUGUUACUGCGACUUUUAAUCCUUUACGGCUCUCAAUGGUGUGAUCGCACAGAAUAUCACUACACACGCGUCCAGUGAAAAGAAAACUUGUACUUUGCUUUUUACGGUAUGCGUCUGCGAGUUCGUAGUAUCUCAAGAAUACUGAUAUUUUUGCCAUGGUUCCCUCUACCUUUUAUAUCCCUCGCGCCGACCCUCGCUCCCUCCUUCAUCCCUUGUCCUUGUCUAAAUCCCUACUCCGCAUCCCUUCUCCUUUAACCAUGUUAUCUCCUCCGUUUACCGUAACUUUGUCUCCUUCUGUCUUUCGACUGUAAUAUUUCAAUAUACCUAUAUCUCGUUUAUACAUUAUCUUUUUGUACUAUUUGUUGAUGUUCUCGCUAAAUCUUAAUUUCACAGUGUGUAUUGAAUGCAUCGAUGUUUGUAUGUGACUUGAAUAAACUUACUCCAGACUUAA